GAACUCAUGCCCCGGGUGCGUCGCAGCCCCGGACCAAGGCGCCCGCCGGAGGACCAACCAAAACUCUUUUUGUAUACCCCCUCGCGGGUUUUUUAUAAUCUGAGCCUUCUCGGCGCCUCUCGUAGGCGUUUCGAAAAUGAAUCAAAACUUUCAACAACGGAUCUCUUGGUUCUGGCAUCGAUGAAGAACGCAGCGAAAUGCGAUAAGUAAUGUGAAUUGCAGAAUUCAGUGAAUCAUCGAAUCUUUGAACGCACAUUGCGCCCGCCAGUAUUCUGGCGGGCAUGCCUGUCCGAGCGUCAUUUCAACCCUCGAACCCCUCCGGGGGGUCGGCGUUGGGGAUCGGCCUUCCUUCAUGGGGGCCGUCUCCGAAAUACAGUGGCGGUCUCGCCGCAGCCUCUCCUGCGCAGUAGUUUGCACACUCGCAUCG
rnacentral:misc_RNA from 1 species